rnacentral:lncRNA from 1 species
GAGUCCCACCCCACCUUCGCCUUCCUCCUGACAUCACCACCCACACAGCAGCUUCCUGGGCCCCCGAGGCUGGUACAGGUACUGCCACUGCCCCUCCCUGCCCUGGGGACCCUCUUCUCAUAUCACCCUUCAGCACAGCCCAGGAAAGAAGUGUCUUUCAGCACCGCUUCCGGGAGUGGAGGCAGCCCUUGGGGCUCUGCCUUAGGGCCCCUGUGGCCACGCCCCCUGCUCCAGGGUCUCUCUGUGGCCACACCCCUGCUCCAGGGUCUUUCAGUGGCCACGCCCCCUGCUCCAGGGUCUCUCUGUGGCCACACCCCUGCUCCAGGGUCUCUCUGUGGCCACGCCCCCUGCUCCAGGGUCUCUCUGUGGCCACACCCCUGCUCUAGGGUCUCUGUGUCCAUACCCCCCUCCAGGGUCUCUGUGGCCACGCCCCCUGCUCCAGGGUCUCUCAGUGGCCAUGCCCCCUGCUCCAGGGUCUCUCAGUGGCCAUGCCCCCGCUCUAGGGUCUCUGGCCACGCCCCCGCUCUAGGGUCUCUGUGGCCACGCCCCCACUCUAGGGUCUCUGCGGCCACGCCCCCACUCUAGGGUUUCUGGCCACGCCCCCGCUCUAGGGUCUCUGCGGCCACGCCUCACUCCAGCUCCCACUGGCCCUUUAAGUCUGCAGGGUGUCCCCUCAUCACCAGGACUGUUCCUGCCUCCCCGGUGUGCUGUGCCUGAGUGGGAGGGUGCCUAUUCAGAGGAGCUGGCUCCGUGCUGUGCCAGGCCAGGGCCCUGCCUUCCGCGGGUGGACAGGCCAGCUGGAGUGGUCUUGCCUGGUCGCUGAUGGAGCUGCACAGAGCAGGCUGGGCUCCCUCCGCCUUCCUGCCAGCUGCAGGGCUCCUGCGCCCUGGGAGGGACAGGUGUGCGCCUUGGCCAGUUUGUGAGGGUCGCUGUACAGUCCUCCUGGCUGCCCGGGCUCCCACGUCCGCAGCGUAUGCACACGCACUACCUUCCCUCCCUGUGCUGACGGCCGGAAGGGGCUCUCCAGGGACAGACACCGUCCCUGCCUGUUGCCUCACUUGGCCUUCAUAGUCGCCCUGGCACAGGCCUCCAGGCAGGGGAAUCUGCAGGGGAGCUCUGAGCAGGAGUCGCCGGGUCACAGGCUACUGUUUUCUUUCUUUUUAAAUAAUUUUUUAGUUAUCGAUGGAUAUAAUACUUUAUUUUUAUUUUAUUUAUUUAUUUUAUGUGGUGCUAAAGAUCCAGCCCAGUGCUUCACAAGUGCGAGUUGCGCACUCUACCCCUGAGCUGCACCCCAGCCCAAGGCUACUGUUUUCAAUACUGAGGGACAACCCCGAAACAGGGCGCAUGCGCCAGGCUCCCUGAGCUGAGCGAGAGCCACCUGCCCACCGUAAGACACCUGGGUUCUGGCCUGCCUUCCCUACCGCUCUGGGGGAGUUUCUGACCCUCUCCUGGUGAGGUGGCAGCUCCUUUGAGAAACUGAGACUCCUGCUCUCUCUCUCCAUGGCCCGGGGCUCCUGUGGCUCCCGUCCUCGCCCAGGGCAACCGGCACUGCGGUCCUCCUGUCUCUGUUUGUCGCUGUUCUUUGACAGCAGGUGGCCAGCUGGGGCUUCGUGCAGCACCACACUGGUUCUGCCCCACGGAGGGCAGCCCUGGGCUCUUUCCUCACCUGCCUUCUGUUUGCUGGACCCUUUCCCUACCCUUGGCUCUGCUUCCUCUGACAUUCCCUCACGGUCCCUCGGCCACCAGGCUUUCUGCAUUCUGCACACAUGCCCUGUCUGCAGCAGCCAUGAACAGACACGAAUGUCACACUGAGCCCUAGCAUCUUGACUGGAGAAGUCUGGCCGCUCUGAAGUUUCCUUAUUGAAAAUCGGGGGUCGUCAAUGGUACAGAAUAGAGGACACAGAGGCGAAUCCACAAAAGUACAUCUACCUUAUAUUAGACAAAGGUGCUAAAAACAUGCAAUGGAGGAAGGAUAGCAUCUUCAACAAAUGGUGCUGGGAGAACUGGAAAUCCAUAUGCAACAAAAUGAAAUUGAAUCCCUUUCUCUCACCAUGCACAAAAGUCCACUCAAAAUGGAUCAAGGAGCUAGGAAUUAGACCAGAGACUCUGCGUCUAAUAGAAGAUAAAGUUGGCCCUAAUCUUCAUCAAGUUCCUUAAUAAGACACCUAUAGCACAAGAGUUAAAACCAAGAAUCAACAAAUGGGACGAAUUCAAACUAAAAAGUUUUUUCUCAGCAAGAGAAAUAAUAUGUGAGGUGAAUAGGGAGCCUACAUCCUGGGAGCAAAUUUUUACCCCUCAAACAUCAGAUAGAGCUCUAAUCUCUAGAGUAUACAAAGAACUCAAAAAGUUAAACAACAAAAAAGCAAAUAACCCAAUCAACAAAUGGGCCAAGGACUUGAACAGAAACUUCUCAGAGGAGGAUAUACCAUCAAUCAACAAAUACAUGAAAAAGUGCUCACCAUCUCUAGCAGUCAGAGAAAUGCAAAUUAAAACUACUCUAAGAUACCAUCUCACUCCAAUAAGAUUGGCAGCCAUUAUGAAGUCAAACAACAAUAAGUGCUGGCGAGGAUGCGGGGAAAAGGGCACACUCAUACAUUGCUGGUGGGACUGCAAAUUGGUGCAGCCAAUUUGGAAAGCAGUAUGGAGAUUCCUUGGAAAGCUGGGAAUGGAACCACCAUUUGACCCAGCUAUUCCCCUUCUCAGACUAUACCCAAAAGACCUAAAAAGAGCAUACUACAGGGACACAGCCACAUCAAUGUUUAUAGCAGCACAAUUCACAAUAGCUAGACUGUGGAGCCAACCUAUAUGCCCUUCAAUAGAUGAAUGAAUUAAAAAAAUGUAGCUUACACACAAUGGAAUAUCACUCAACACUAAAAAAUAACAAGAUCAUGGCAUUUGCAGGGAAAUGGAUGGCAUUAGAGCAGAUUAUGCUAAGUGAAGUUAGCCAAUCCCUAAAAAACAAAUGCCGAAUGUCUUCUCUGAAGACUGCCACUAAAUAGGGAAGAGAGGUGGGAGGGAAAAGGAGGGAGAAGGGGAGUUGCACAGAAGAUAGAAGGAGAACCUCAUUGUGAUACAGAAUACAUGUAUGAUGUUGUGAUGAGAAAAAGAAAAAAAAGUGUGUCACAUGAGAUUGGACAGAGAGAAAGGAUGGAGAGGAGGGGAGGAGUAGGGGGAUAGGAAGGGCAGCAGAAUAGAAU